UUGACACGGUUUUCGUCUGGGUAGUAAUGAGCUCUUCUGUUAAACAAAAUAAGAUUUUUUCGUUGUUACAAUUUUUACAUGAUUUUUAAUUAGAUGGGCCUUAGCCUUAGGCAUAACUAAGUAAAACAGUAUACAUCAUUUUUAAAGUUGCAUGCGAGGAAUUUUGGCAAGCCUUUAAGCGCAAGAUUACAGAAAAAGAUGAGCAAGAAAAGAUUAAAAUAUGUAGGAAGGUAGACAAAGAUGAGACAAAAAGAUGAAGAUGCACUGCAAAGAAAAGUCUUGAGAGAAAAGAAGAAGGUAGAGAGACAAUUGAAGAAAGAUGGUGAUGCAAGGAAGAAAAAGGAGAAAAAAGUUUUGCCAAGAAGAAAGACAAAUGAAGACAGGAAUGAUGACUCUGAGGUAGAGAAACUGAAGGAGGCUGAACAGAAAAAAUGUGACAAUGAAAGUGGUGUUAAAGUUUCUGACAGCCUUGUUGAGUAGGGAAUGAAGAUUGUCCUGCUGGUUGCCUUACAAGAAACAAAAGCACUCUUUAGGUUCUAUGUAAACAAAUGAAGAUUGUCCUGCUGGUUGACUUACAAGAAACAAAGGCACUCUUUAGGUUCUAUGUGAACAAUGCGAUCAGUGGUGGCACACUUGUUGCACAACAGUCCCUCAGAAUGCAGAAGAAGGAUUAGAAAAAUUUAACCUUCUGUGUUCCGCCUGUUGCCCUGAUCAAUAUCGUUAGUUCACAUUAAACUUUAAAAAAAAUGUUAUCAUACAUAUUUAUUUAACUCUUUACAUUUCUAUAUUAAAUACUUUCAUUAUUUCAUGCUAUAUUAUAGCAUUCAUAAUUAUUGUUAUUGUGAUAUUAUUGUUAAAAAGUUAAAGAUGGUCACUUUAAUUUUAUUUUUUAUUUAUUUUCACCAAUUGUGAAUAAUAUUGAAAUUGUAAAUAUAUAA